AGCAGCCGCGGUAAUUCCAGCUCCAAUAGCGUAUAUUAAAGUUGUUGCAGUUAAAAAGCUCGUAGUUGAAUUUCGGGGUUCUACCGUUGGUCGGGCAAUAGUCUGUACUGGCGUGUGGAAUUUCUACCUUCUGGGGAACCAUCAUGUUAUUUAUUUAGCGUGGUGGGAAACCAGGACCUUUACCUUGAAAAAAUUAGAGUGUUCAAAGCAGGCUUACGUCUGAAUACAUUAGCAUGGAAUAAUAAAAUAGGACGGUGGUCCUGUUUUGUUGGUUUCUGAAUCACCGUAAUGAUUAAUAGGGAUAGUUGGGGGCAUUAGUAUUCAAUUGUCAGAGGUGAAAUUCUUGGAUUUAUUGAAGACUAACUUCUGCGAAAGCAUUUGCCAAGGAUGUUUUCAUUAAUCAAGAACGAGAGUUAGGGGAUCGAAGACGAUCAGAUACCGUCGUAGUCU
rnacentral:rRNA from 1 species